rnacentral:rRNA from 19 species
UUAAAUUGAAGAGUUUGAUCAUGGCUCAGAUUGAACGCUGGCGGCAGGCCUAACACAUGCAAGUCGAACGGUAACAGGAAGCAGCUUGCUGCUUCGCUGACGAGUGGCGGACGGGUGAGUAAUGUCU